GGAUGUGAGGGAGAUCUGACUGUGUCAUCUGUCAUCUUAUUGAUCACCAUGGUUGAUUGGCUGAUCUGGCUGGCCAGGCAGGUGACCCUUCCUCCUCACUGCUCCACGUGCGACCCUCCCAAAGCUGCAUGUGCAGUCAGAGAGGAGACCAUCCUGGAUAGAAGAGGGUCAAGGGUCCAGCAGUAGCUGCGCUCCCCUGCUGGAGCCUCUCAACAAGCUCUGAAGAGUGCCAGGGAAGCAGGAAGUGUAAAGGAACUAACUCAAGACUAAAACCGUGGAGGAAAAAAUAUAAAGUACUUACAAUCCACUUGCAAAUUUUU
rnacentral:snRNA from 1 species